UUCACCUAUAUGAUGAUUUUUUGUCUGAUACAGUCAUUUCAAGUUGAUCCAUUUUGCAUGUGACUAUAGAUGUUCUUGGAAGUAUAAUUUCCCCUGCGUAUAAAACUUAUUUUUUCCAUUGUUUUCUCAAAUUCAGCAGCAUCCAUUCCAGCAAUUACAACAUCAAGCAGUGAAACAACAGGAACAACUCUAGGUCCUCUCACCGAGCCUUUUACUACAGGCCAGUAUAUUAAUUCCUGGUUUUAUAUGCUAAAUAAAAAUAUUCAAUAGUUUAAAUUAUUAGUCACCUUGGGUUUUAAAGAAAGAAUGUAUAGGACAGUUUGGCUUUAGAAAAAAUAUUUCAAACAAGUAGUUUACUAGGUUUUUACCACUGACUUUAAAUUUUUCUUUAAAAACCUUGAAUUUUACUUGUUUUUGAUCAGUCUAUAUUGACUGGCUAUAGAAACAUGGUUUCUAGUUUGAUUUUCUUCUUUAUCAUUAACUAUUAACAUAAUAUCUGCAACAGUAGUAAAUAUCUUUAAAUUUUUUUAAAGACUAUGGGUUGCACAUCUAAUAACAUACGUUACUGUCUUAGAUGUUUAAAGUUUAAACAUGUGCACAUCUAAUAACAGCUCUCUUAGCUGUUCUAAGCCUAAACGUAGCAAUUAACUAUUUCAUGAUAGUGUUUCUUUAUUGUUAUUAUCAGCCCCAGGCCACAGUGAUUAAGGCAUAAGGAUCUGCUAAUUUUAUUUUAUUUUUAAAUUUUAAAAAUUAUUUUUUUAAAUGUGGAUACAUAGUAGAUAUAUACAUAUAUGGCAUACGUGAGAUGUUUUGAUACAGGCAUGCAAUGUGAAAUAAGCACAUCAUGGAGAAUGGGGAAUCCAUCCCCUUAAGCAUUUACCCUUUGUGUUCUAAAUAAUCCAAUUAUAUUCUUUAAGUUAUUUUAAAAUGUAUAAUUAUUAUUGGCUAUAGUAACCCCAUUGUGCUAUCAAAUGGUAGGUAUUAUUUAUUCUUUUAAAUGUUUUUAUACCCAUUAACCAUCCCCACCUCUCCCUAACCCCUGACUACCCUUCCUAGCUCUGCUAACCAUCCAUUUACAUUCUAUGUUCAUGAGUUCAAUGGAUCUGAUUUUUUUAGAUCCCAUAAAAUAAGAACAUGUGAUGUUUGUCUUUCUGUACCUGGCUUAUUUCACUUAACAU
rnacentral:lncRNA from 1 species